rnacentral:rRNA from 1 species
CUGGCCUUGACAUGUCCGGAAUCCUGCAGAGAUGCGGGAGUGCCUUCGGGAAUCGGAACACAGGUGCUGCAUGGCUGUCGUCAGCUCGUGUCGUGAGAUGUUGGGUUAAGUCCCGCAACGAGCGCAACCCUUGUCCUUAGUUGCCAGCGAGUAAUGUCGGGAACUCUAAGGAGACUGCCGGUGACAAACCGGAGGAAGGUGGGGAUGACGUCAAGUCCUCAUGGCCCUUACGGCCAGGGCUACACACGUACUACAAUGGUCGGUACAGAGGGUUGCAAUACCGCGAGGUGGAGCCAAUCCCAGAAAGCCGAUCCCAGUCCGGAUCGAAGUCUGCAACUCGACUUCGUGAAGUCGGAAUCGCUAGUAAUCGCAGAUCAGCUAUGCUGCGGUGAAUACGUUCCC